GACGAACGCUGGCGGCGUGCUUAACACAUGCAAGUCGAACGGACAGGCCCUGCUUUUGCGGGGUGCUCGAGUGGCGAACGGGUGAGUAACACGUGAGUAACCUGCCCUUGACUUUGGGAUAACUUCAGGAAACUGGGGCUAUUACCGGAUAGGAGCUCCUGCUGCAUGGUGGGGGUUGGAAAGUUUCGGCGGUUGGGGAUGGACUCGCGGCUUAUCAGCUUGUUGGUGGGGUAGUGGCUUACCAAGGCUUUGACGGGUAGCCGGCCUGAGAGGGUGACCGGCCACAUUGGGACUGAGAUACGGCCCAGACUCCUACGGGAGGCAGCAGUGGGGAAUAUUGCACAAUGGGCGGAAGCCUGAUGCAGCAACGCCGCGUGCGGGAUGACGGCCUUCGGGUUGUAAACCGCUUUCGCCUGUGACGAAGCGUGAGUGACGGUAAUGGGUAAAGAAGCACCGGCUAACUACGUG
rnacentral:rRNA from 1 species